rnacentral:rRNA from 1 species
UGGGGAAUUUUGGACAAUGGGCGAAAGCCUGAUCCAGCAAUGCCGCGUGUGUGAAGAAGGCCUUCGGGUUGUAAAGCACUUUUGUCCGGAAAGAAAUCCUUGGCUCUAAUACAGUCGGGGGAUGACGGUACCGGAAGAAUAAGCACCGGCUAACUACGUGCCAGCAGCCGCGGUAAUACGUAGGGUGCAAGCGUUAAUCGGAAUUACUGGGCGUAAAGCGUGCGCAGGCGGUUUGCUAAGACCGAUGUGAAAUCCCCGGGCUCAACCUGGGAACUGCAUUGGUGACUGGCAGGCUAGAGUAUGGCAGAGGGGGGUAGAAUUCCACGUGUAGCAGUGAAAUGCGUAGAGAUGUGGAGGAAUACCGAUGGCGAAGGCAGCCCCCUGGGCCAAUACUGACGCUCAUGCACGAAAGCGUGGGGAGCAAAACAGGAUUAGAUACCCUGGUAGUCCACGCCCUAAACGAUGUCAACUAGUUGUUGGGGAUUCAUUUCCUUAGUAACUAGCUAACGCGUGAAGUUGACCGCCUGGGGGAGUACGGUCGCAAGAUUAAAACUCAAAUGAAUUG